CAUACAUUUACAUUCCAGAACACGUAUUAUUGUAGGGUGACUGUGCCCUUUCUCUUCCAGGCCUAUUACUCUCUACAACGUGUUCGAGAACAACUUUUGGUCCUAGCUGGAGCGGACGUGGACUUGAAGCUUCAUGCUGGAAGCUUCUUGUCAAUGGCGUCAUCUCCUUACCGAGGAUCAGAUAUCU
rnacentral:snoRNA from 1 species